AGGGAGACCUCUCUUGGUUCCUUGUUGUUGUUGUUGUCUCCAUGUAAUGUAAACCAAAAUCUUUCAGUAAAGUGUUGCCUUAGCUGUAGGUGCCAAUGUUUGUGUUUAAGGGUAUGGGAAAAAGGUAUCAUUCCUUCCAAAACUCAUAUUUUCUAAGAUGAUGCCAAUGGCAAGGGUAGGUUUUUUUCCUCUUCCUGCUUUUGUUGUAAAUAGCACUGAAGUAGUGAUGAUUUGCUAGCUUGCCUUUGAUGUUUAUUUUAUUACCGUUCCACUAUUUGUGUGGAAAAUGUACACAUUGUCUCUUAUCUUUAUUCAAAGAACUUAAAAAGUCAUUCAAAUGCUGUAGGUAAACACGUCAGACAUAACAGAAGCUUUUUCACAGCUGUACUUCAAGACUAGGAGUGGAUGGCAAAGCUGGUUUUGCAAGAUUUAAGAGGGGACAGAAGCUUGUACUCAAAAUAAUACUAAGAUAGCUAUUAAUGGCUGGGAGGAGGGAACCUUUCUAAGAUCAGCACUGCUUCUUGUUGCGGCUCAAGGCCUCUUUGGUAUCUCCGAGCCAGUGCAUGCUGUAAACUGAACCUUGAAAUCUGUGGUGACUCUUAGCUGAGAAAACAUACAAAAGUGCUUGUGAAAGGGCCAUGCAUGGUUUAAGCAGAGCCUUCUUGGCCCGAGUGAGAGCAGUGUCAAGCUCAUUGCUGUUGCUGCCCAUGAAACAACGAGCAAAGUUGUAAGAAAGGGUGAAAUAGUACAACUACUCGUGUCUCUCACCACUGAGAGUAUAUGUAACCUCAAGCCUUUUCCUGCCAUAGUUUUUUAAAAGGCACAGUAUCGCCUUCAGGUUUAUAAAGAUUAACACAAUCAUCGGAAAAACUGAUUCUGUUAAGUAAACUUCACAUCAAAAGCACUUUGAUGUGCUGUAUUAUAGCAAAGCCAAACACCCCACCCCCAUCACCCCAAGAAAAACCUCCAAAAACCUCCAGUGAAGCAAUGUAAAAAAAAAAAAAUCUAAUUCUUUGUUCUAAAAUGAAAUGUCUCUUCCUCUUUAGAUCAACAGAGCAGGACUUUUUGAUGUAUGACCCCCUCUUUUCCUACCCAAAACAGUACCGACUUAAAGACAAAUGAAGAAAUGUGAAUGGUUGCUUGAAAAUCACGUGCUCAGCUUUGCAUCCCAUUUUCUAUAGUAUUUGACUAAUUUAUUUCAGAAAUAGUAAGAGUGUUCCAGUGGAUAUUUGGAGAUAAGGUAGUGUAGUCCUUUGCAGUUUGUUCGAACUACAAAUUAUAAAAACGUUUGUUACUAAAUGUAGCAAAAUGCUACACUCUCUGGUGGUUGUGGAUAUAUUUUUGGUUGACCCAGUUAUGUUGUCUCUGUAGUAUUUUAAACCAUGGAGACAUGGAUUUUUCAGUUCAGCAAACAUCGUGCAAAGGUGUGUCAUAAUAUGGUCUUGCUUUUAAAUAUUUAAAAAAUGAUUUCUUUUAAUUCUUUUCACACAGUCCUUUCUUACCAUCUUUUCUGCCUUCUGUCUCUCCAGACCACUGACUAGAAUAGAGAGAUUUUCCAAGUAAGCUCCUAUGGGCACAACUGGUAAAUAAAGGUCAUGCUGGUGACCGGGAAAGUCCUAUGGUUAGUGGUAGGCAUGCGUAUUUGUGCAUCUGAGAUGUCCGGCACACCAGCUGGACAAAGUGCUUCAUCAUCUCUUCUCCUCAUCCUGUGGCAAAGCUGCAGGAGGGCACUGCCUUGCCAGGAAUGAUGAAAUUGGACAAUGCAAUACUCUACAUGAGCAACAAUAGACCAGUUCAAAGAGUUCACUUUGGAUGGGCUGCUCACAGCAGGAGAUGUACCUAGCAUGCAUAAAUGAACUACAGAGUCUGUGAAGGUUGGCUAAUUGCACUAUGUAUAUUUUUAUAGUUGAAGGAAAUCCAGCUGGAGACUGAGCUGUAAGAAGGGAGGUUAGUGGAAAUUCCUUUAGACCUUGUGAGGAAAAGUUUGAUCACUGAAGCAGAAUGUAUGUCUGUGUGAAUUCCCUCAUUGGGAAAGAUUGGCACUUUUUCACAAGGACAGCCAUUCCCUGUGGGUAGAGAUUCUCUCAUGUCUUUGGCAGGUACUAAGAGCUGAAUUUACAAUGGGGAGUUCCAUUUCAACUUUGUUUCAUGCAGUCUUUAUUUUCUUGGGAGCCGUUGCUCAGAAUAAAAUUUUCCCAUGCUGAGAGCUUAGUAUCACUUCCUCCCUAUGCACACUUCAUGUUCCAUAAAAAAGUCCAUCUAAGCAAAUUUUUUUAACCAGAGUCCUGGAUUGUGACAGAAUGGGCAGGGGAAGACUUUCUCCUGUGAAGACAGUGACAUUAUUGCUCUUGUUACUAAUGCUUAGUGCUGGAGAAAUAGUUCCAGGUUCCUACACCAUCAUUUUCACCCAGAGAUCUCAGAGCUCUCCCUUCUUACAGGCAAUGAGGAGUGAAGGGGAGUCCUGUUGAAAAUAAUUUGGUAAGUUGGUUGCCACCCCAUCUGUAGAACUGAGCUCUUUGGAGCCCUUGUCCUGCACUAUGUCCACUGAGGUAUCCAUCACAAGGCAUCAUCAGAAAGCAUUGUAUCAUUUGGCAAGGAGCUGUCAAAAUGGAGAUUGUUAUGUCCUGAGACUCAGAUAAUUUAUAGCUAAUUCUCUGUUUUUACUAGUGCUAUGUUAAGUCUCAGGAGCUUGAAUGGAGUUCCACACCAGCAUAAGAUGAACCUCUCUGGAAUACAUUGCUGGUUUGCAGUCUGAGAAAGUGCAUGACGUAAAAGAGUGCAGGGUGAGGUUAAAUUAACAUAGUAUUUACAACAUAUUUUGUGAUGACAAUUCAAUAACUUUCCCUGUAGGCUCUUCUCAUAGCUGAUUGCCUGCUUUCAUGUAACUGCACCGAGAGAGAAAAUCCAAAUGGUGUUGGACUUACAGGAUUGUGGAUCUCUUCAAAGAGAUUUUUCUUAUAGCAAGAAAGAACUGGUAUUGGAAAGGCAGCACAUGUAUUGAUAAGUCUGGAGGUAAUUGUCAGGACAGAAUUGCUUGUGAAGAGACAGACUCCACCGCAAUUAGAAGUUAUGCUGCGUUAUGUUUGUUGUGAAGUUCUGAUGCAGAAGCCAUUUGGUGAAUUCUGUGGCUCUCUGCCAGGAAUAGUGAAUAUUUUUUGCUAGUGGUGCCAAACAAACUUAAAAAGAAACCAUCAUAGCUUGUUAUUGUUGGUGCCAGACCAAAUAUCUGCUGGCGCCAAACUUGGUAUUGAUGCCAGAGGCUUGCUGUCACUGGCCCAUGAUAUGAGGAAACACCAUGUGAGCUGUUACAAUAGCCUCUUAUUGCCUUCAAGCCCAUGCAUUGAUGGAGUAGAGUGAACAACUUCGUAAGAGAAGUACAGCAGAAUUAACCAAGAAAUGAAGGGCUUUGAGUCAUUGAACUUUGCUAGCCCUUCCUGGAGUACACCUAAGCCAGCUCAAAACCACAUAUAUUUUACAUGGGUAAACAGUGACUGGAGAUAUGAAGGAUAUGUUUCAAUUCAACUAAAACUAUUUUUAGCACUGUGGAUCAACAAAUUAAUCACAUUGCCAAUAAUAUUCCAGUUGAACAGCAAUAAGUAUUUACCGUUCUUACUUCUGGAUUGGAUUUCUUUUGUUGUUUCUUUGUUUUCAAAAAGCUAUUUAUGGGUGAAAUCCCAUGAUUUAUAUAAGCACUAGCCAAAUCCAUAAAUAAAUAAUGGUGUUAAAAUCUUCUUGAUUUUUUUUUUCUAAGACCAAGUCAACUGCUCCAUUGUAAUGGAGCUAUUUGGGAGCAAGGUGCUGACACCCAGACCUUCCAGUGGCAGGCAGGAUUUUGCAGUAUUGCCUUCAAAUUAUAUCUCUCUUGUGUGUCUUUUGUCCCCUAUUUUCUGUGUUCCAUCUUCCUUCCCUGCAACGCCCUGGACAGCUCCAGAACACUACUAGUGUCUUUGAAAAUCUGGUCCAUGCUGCUGCUUGCUUACUCCUGGAAAAUGUAGCAUAGUUACAGGGUACAUCCACUACACUAUACCUCAGCUGGUGGGGGAUGAGGAUUUAUAUUCUCCAAACUGUGUUCCAGAAAUUGGGUAUGUUUUCACCACUUUUUGGAUGGCAAAGAAAUGCAGUAAAAGCUGAGGGGGCUGGUUCUUCAGUUGCUGCAGAUCUAACAAAAUCAUUAGUUUGUUGAGUUGCAUGCACUGUGUAUUUGAUUUCCAGCUCCUAGGUGAGUUCUUAAGGGAUUAACCGAGUUUCAAUCUCUUGAAGGUGUGAAUAAACAUCCUGUUGCCUCACACCCAUGAAAUUUCUUCCCUAAAGAUGUCAAAGUGCUUUGUGCAGAGUGUUGCUAUUUUGGUUCUGUAAGUAAAGGUUCGCAGGUUCCAAAUGUCUUGGCCAAACUUAAAUGAUCUAAGAUGGGAAUAGGACAUGGGUUUCCAAAUUCCUCCACUACUGUUCUACCCACUAACCCUGUUUUUUUCUCUGAACCUUUACAUAUACUUUAAUAGAUUAAUAAUUAACCUCCAAGUGGGGCACUUUGAGGCAAAUGUAAAAUGAAACCAAACACUUGUCAUGGUUUUUAGUCAUACCAGAUUUGUAAGUAGGGUGUGUUUAAAUGAUGCAGGUAGAUAAAGUCUUGUUAAUUUAGAUUAGAGUAAAAGUCAGUGCCUUAUCAAAGCAAGUGACUAAUUAGGAAAACUAUUACCUUUUGGAAAAGAAACAGUUGAACUAUCACUCAAAAUUAUUUUAACUAAUUGAACAGUACUAGUAUUUAUGCUGAAUAAAGGCUCUUGCAACUGCUGGGAAAGGAGAAAUACAGAGAGCUUUUCCCAGAAAUUGCUCGUGUUUUGGUGGGUUUUUUUGAUAAUUUUGCUUUUAGAAACUUAACAGUACUUGUCAUCAUUGUGUAAACAUGGGGAAGGGAGGAGAGUCCUGUGAGUCAUGAGGGAGCCAAACUUAAAGAAUUUAGGUGAAGAGCUGGAGCAUUUAUGUUAAAUAUACUACCUUCGGUCUCUUCACCUUACCAAGCCAACAGGACAGCAAAGUUCUCGUGAAUGGUUUGAAAUGAUGCAGUGAAUCUCACGUCUGUAAUAACAGACAUUGGGCAUUUGAAAACCUGCAAGAGUGGAAACACUAGGGCAAAUUCAUGGUGUGAAAAGAAAGAUUAUGAUCAGACUGUGUUUAUGUUCAGACAGAUACAUGCAAUUGUGAGGAAUCAUUAAAUAACUGUUAACCACACCUGCACAGAGCCUCUGGCAAUGCUGGCUUAUACAGAAUCUCAAGAACUGCCAUGUACCUGACAUCAUACCUUUGCAAGGAAAGAAAAGUCCUAGGUGUUAGCCCAAGACUGGAAAGAGCAAUACUGUUGUUCUCUUCAGCAGUGUACUUCUGGGGAUGUGUUGGCUGGAUUUCUGUCCCAUUAGCACUGAAGAGUUUUGCCCAAGAACAUUGCAGGGAAUCUGUCUUUCUCAGUGUGUUGUGAGUCUUCCCUUUCAGAGCAAGGAGACAAGGAGACAGCACAAUAUCCUGGCAAUCUGUGUAUGCAUUAAUGAAGUGUCUGCCCGCACUUCUUAACGUAGGACACUUGGAGUUUUGUACCAUUUCCUAAUGGCUUCCCUUUAUGUAAUCUCAUAUGUCAGAGGUCUGUGCAAUCUUGUCUCAUAACAUGGAAGACUGGCACAGCUACAUUCCUGGAACACUUAG